ensembl:lncRNA
UGUUUUUAUUGAUCAUAACUACUUUCAUCUUCAUUAAUGUGGACUGUGCAAAAAUGACAAAUCGUCUUUCAUUCACAGGAAAAUAAAACAAAACAAGACAAAAAAAAACAUAUUAAAUAUCUGGAAAGAGGGUGUACUAUUAAUUUUUUCUCACUUCACUGACAUGCCAAAACUGAUGCCAUUCAUUACAUGUUUGUUAAUGUUAUGUAUUAUAUGUUUACAGGUGGUCUAUUUGACAGCUACCAAGAUGAGUAGAAAAACACUGACAAUUGCAUUGUUAAGUUUAGUGUUUUGUAGCGCAUCAGCUGAGUCAGCAAACUCACCUACAACUGAAUCUAUGACUGUCACAUCAUACUCACCUGCACAAACGACACAAUUCUGCUUACAACUGACACAACAGCAUAUACAAUACUGUUCAACAACAACUGAAACUCUGUUUACAACCACUGCCAAACCAACACAAACACCUGAAUCAACAAACUCACCUAUAACUGCAACAACUGAAUCUACGACUGUUAGAACAAACACAGCUACAACUAAAACUCGGCUUACAACUACAAGCCUUCCUACAGAAAAAACAACACAACUCACAACUGAGCAAUCAACUACAUCUGAACAAAGCACCACAAUGCAGUCAGCAAAUUCAUCCCUACCUACAACAAGUACAGCUCAAUCUACAACUGAGGUUACAACAAACUCACCCACAACUACAACUCUGCUUACAACUACAGCUCCUCCUACAGAAACAACAACAACACAACUUACAUCUACGGCUGAACCAAAAACCACAACUGCUGCAACAUCUACAACUGAACCAAAAACCACAACUGCUUCAACACCUACAACUGAACAAUCAACUACAUCUGAACAAAGCACCCCAAAGCAGACAACAACAUCAUCCCUACCUACAACAAGUACAGCUCAAUCUACAACCCUGGUUACAACAAACUCACCUACAACUACAUCUCGGAUUACAAUUUCAGCCCCUCCUACAGAAACAACAACAAAACUUACAUCUACAGCUGAACCAACAACCAUAACUGUUUCAACAUCUACAACUGAACUAUCAACUACAUCAGAACAAAGCACCACAACACAGACAGGAACAAAAUCCCUACCUACAACAAGUACAGCUCAAUCUACAACUGAGGUUACAACAAUCUCACCUACAACUGCAACUCUGCUUACAACUACAGCCCCUCCUACAGAAACAACAACAACACAACUUACAUCUACGGUUGAACCAACAACCACAACUGCUUCAUCAUCUACAGCUGAACCAACAACCACAAUUGCUUCAUCAUCUACAGCUGAACCAACAACCACAACUGUUUUAACAUCUACAACAGAACAAUCAACUACAUCAGAACAAAGCACCACAACACAGACAGGAACAAAAUCCCUACCUACAACAAGUACAGCUCAAUCUACAACUGAGGUUACAACAAUCUCACCUACAACUGCAACUCUGCUUACAACUACAGCCCCUCCUACAGAAACAACAACAACACAACUUACAUCUACGGUUGAACCAACAACCACAACUGCUUCAUCAUCUACAGCUGAACCAACAACCACAACUGUUUUAACAUCUACGAUAGAACAAUCAACUACAUCUGAACACACCACCACAAUGCAGAUGGCAACAACAUCCCUACCUACAACAAGUACAGCUCAAUCUACAACUGAGGUUACAACAAACUCACCUACAACUACAACUCUUCUUACAACUAAAACCCCUCCUACAGAAACAACAAGACUUACAUCUACUGCUGAACCAACAACCACAACUGCUUCAUCGUCUACAACUGAACUAACAACCAUAACUGCUUCAACACCUUCAACUGAACAAUCAACUACAUCUGAACAAAGCACCCCAAUGCAGACAACAACAUCAUCCCUACCUACAACAAGUACAGCUCAAUCUACAACCCUGGUUACAACAAACUCACCUACAACUACAUCUCGGGUUACAAUUACAGCCCCUCCUACAGAAACAACAAAACUUACAUCUACAGCUGAACCAACAACCACAACUGUUUUAACAUCUAUGACAGAACAAUCAACUACAUCUGAACACAGCACCACAAUGCAGAUGGCAACAACAUCCCUACCUACAACAAGUACAGCUCAAUCUACAACUGAGGUUACAACAAACUCACCUACAACUACAACUCUUCUUACAACUACAACCCCUACUACAGAAACAACAAGACUUACAUCUACUGCUGAACCAACAACCACAACUGCUUCAUCAUCUACAACUGAAUUAACAACCAUAACUGCUUCAACACCUUCAACUGAACAAUCAACUACAUCUGAACAAAGCACCCCAAUGCAGACAACAACAUCAUUCCUACCUACAACAAGUACAGCUCAAUCUACAACCCUGGUUACAACAAACUCACCUACAACUACAUCUCGGGUUACAAUUACAGCCCCUCCUACAGAAACAACAACAAAACUUACAUCUACAGCUGAACCAACAACCACAACUGUUUUAACAUCUAUGACAGAACAAUCAACUACAUCUGAACACAGCACCACAACGCAGACGGCAACAACUUCCCUACCUACAACAAGUACAGCUCAAUCUACAACCCUGGUUACAACAAACUCACCUACAACUACAUCUCGGGUUACAAUUACAGCCUCUCCUACAGAAACAACAACAAAACUUACAUCUACAGCUGAACCAACAACCAAAACUCUUUUAACAUCUACAACUGAACCAACAACCACAACUGCUUCAUCAUCUACAACUGAAUCAACAACCACAACUGUUUUAACAUCUACAACAGAACAAUCAACUAUAUCUGAACAAAGCACCACAAUACAGAUGGCAACAACAUCACUACUUUCAAGAAGUACAGCUCAAUCUACAACUGAGGUUACAACAAACUCACCUACAACUGCAACUCUGCUUACAACUACAACACCUCCUACAGAAAGAACAAGAAUUACAUCUACUGCUGAACCAGCAACCACAGCUGCUUCAUCGUUUACAACUGAACUAACAACCAUAACUGCUUCAACACCUACAACUGAACAAUCAACUACAUCUGAACAAAGCACCCCAAUGCAGACAACAACAUCAUCCCUACCUACAACAAGUACAGCUCAAUCUACAACCCUGGUUACAACAAACUCACCUACAACUACAUCUCGGAUUACAAUUACAGCCCCUCCUACAGAAACAACAACAAGACAACUUACAUCUACGGCUGAACCAAUAAUUACAACUGUUUUAACAUCUACAACAGAACAAUCAACUACAUCAGGACAAAGCACCACAACACAGACGGCAACAACGUCCCUACCUACAACAAGUACAGCUCAAUCUACAACUGAGGUUACAACAAACUCACCUACAACUGCAACUCUGCUUACAACUCCAGGCCCUCCAACAGAAACAACAACAACACAACUUACAUCUACAACUGAACUAACAACCACGACUGCUUCAACAUCUACAACUGAACAAUCAACUACAUCUGAACAAAGCACCCCAAUGCAGACAACAACAUCAUCCUUACCUACAACAAGUACAGCUCAAUCUACAACCCUGGUUACAACAAACUCACCUAUAACUACAUCACAGGUUACAAUUACAGCCCCUCCUACAGAAACAACAACAAAACUUACAUCUACAGCUGAACCAACAACCACAGCUGUUUUAACAUCUACAACUGAACCAACAACCACAACUGCUUCAUCAUCUACAGCUGAACCAACAAGCACAACUGUUUUAACAUCUACGACAGAACAAUCAACUACAUCUGAACAAAGCACCACAACGCAGACGGCAACAACAUCCCUACCUACAACAAGUACAGCUCAAUCUACAACUGAGGUUACAACAAACUCACCUACAACUACAACCCCUCCUACAGAAACAACAAGACUUACAUCUACUGCUGAACCAACAACCACAACUGCUUCAUCAUCUACAACUGAACUAACAACCAUAACUGCUUCAACACCUACAACUGAACAAUCAACUACAUCUGAACAAAGCAGCCCAAUGCAGACAACAACAUCAUCCUUACCUAUAACAAGUACAGCUCAAUCUACAACCCUGGUUACAACAAACUCACCUAUAACUACAUCACAGGUUACAAUUACAGCCCCUCCUACAGAAACAACAACAAAACUUACAUCUACAGCUGAACCAAAAACCACAACUGAUUCAUCAUCUACAGCUGAACCAACAACCACAACUGAUUCAUCAUCUACAGCUGAACCAACAACCACAACUAUUUUAACAUCUACAACAGAACAAUCAACUAAAUCAGGACAAAGCACCACAACACAGACGGCAACAACAUCCCUACCUACAACAAGUACAGCUCAAUCUACAACUGAGGUUACAACAAACUCACCUACAACUGCAACUCUGCUUACAACUCCAGGCCCUCCAACAGAAACAACACAACUUACAUCUACGGGUAAACCAACAACAACAACUGUUUUAAGAUCUACAACUGAACCAACAACUACAACUGUUUUAACAUCUACAACUGAACAAUCAACAACACCUGAACAAAGCACCACAAUGCAGACAACAACAACAUCCUUACCUACAAAAAAUACACCUCAAUCUACAACCGUGGUUACAGCAAACUCACUUACAAGUACAUCUCAGUUUACAACCACAGCCCCUCCUACAGAAACAACAACACAACUUACAUCUAUGGCUGAACCAACAACGACAACUGUUUUAACAUCUACAACAGAACAAUCAACUACAUCUGAACAAAGCACCACAAUGCAGUCAACAACAACAUCCCUACCUACAACAAGUACAGCUCAAUCCACAACUGAGGUUACAACAAACUCACCUACAACUGCAACUCUGUUUACAACUACAGCCCCUCCUACAGAAACAACAACCACACAACUUACAUCUACAGCUGAACCAACAACCACAACUGCGUCAACAUCUACAACUGAAAAAUCAACUAUACCCGAACAAAGCACCACAACACAGACAGCAACAACAUCCCUACAUACAACAAGUACAGCUCAAUCUACAACCCUGAUUUCAACAAACUCAGCUACACCUACAUCUCGGGUUACAAUUACAGCCCCUCCUACAGAAACAACAACAACACAACUUACAUCUACAGCUGAACCAACAACCAUAACUGUUUUAACAUCUACGGCUGAACCAACAACCACAACUGUUUUAACAUCUACAACAAAACAAUCAAUUACAUCCCAACACAGCACCACAACACAGACAGCAACAACAUACCUACCUACAACAAGUACAGCUCAAUCUACAACCCUGGUUACAACAAACAUGACUGUUACAUCAAGCUCAGCUACACAAACGACACAAUUCUGCUUAAAAGUGACACAACAGCUGAUACAAUACUGCUCAGCAACAACUGAAACUCUGUCUACAACCACUGCCAAACCUACACAAAAACCUGACUCAACAAACUCACCUGCAUCUGCAACAACAGAAUCUAUGACUGUUACAGUAAACUCAGUCCCUUCCACAGAAACAACAACAACAACAACACAACUUACAUCUACGGCUGAACCAACAACUACAACCAGAGCUCAAUCAACAACAACCCCAGGCACAACCCAGACAGUUUUUGUUAGUUUUUCCAGCAGUGAAAUUUUUGUCUCUGAUCUGUCAAAUCCAGCUUCAGAAGCAUAUAAAAACAGAGAAAAGAAUGUCAACGAUACGUUGACACCAUUCUUUAGAAAUGCAUUGCCCUCCUUCAAAGGACUGGCAGUUAUUCAGUUCCGUAAUGGGUCAAUCAUCACUGAUAUGAAUGUGACAUUUGGAACCUUACCCAGUGAUGUUGAGAUAGAAAACACUAUUAUGAAAGCUAAUGCCACUCUCAGUAUCACCAGUGUAACAAUAUGGAAGCCCUUCACCACAACUACCAAAGCCACUACAACCAGUUCCACUACAAUUACAACUACAACCACACCUAACACAACAACAGCAGCAGCAACAACAACAACCACAACAUCUACUGCCAAUCCUAAUACAACAGCAUCACCAGCAACCACAACAUCUACUGUCAAUCCUAAUACAACAGCAACAA